rnacentral:rRNA from 1 species
GACGAACGCUGGCGGCGUGCUUAACACAUGCCAGUCUAACGGAAAGGCCUUGCUUUUGUGGGUUGCUCGAGUGGCGAACGGGUGAGUAACACGUGAGUAACCUGCCCUUUACUUUGGGAUAACUUCAGGCAACUGGGGCUAAUACCGGAUAGGAGCUCCUGCUGCAUGGUGGGUGUUGGAAAGUUUCGGCGGUUGGGGAUGGACUCGCGUCUUAUCAGCUUGUUGGUGGGGUAGUGGCUUACCAAGGCUUUGACGGGUAGCCGGCCUGAGAGGGUGACCGGCCAAAUUGGGAAUGAGAUAAGGCCCAGAAUCCUACGGGAGGGAGGAGGGGGAAUAUUGAACAAUGGGCGGAAGACUGAUGCAGCAACGCCGCGUGCGGGAUGACGGCCUUCGGGUUGUAAACCGCUUUCGCCUGUGACGAAGAGUGAGUGACGGUAAUGGGUAAAGAAGCACCGGCUAAAUACGUG